GACGAACGCUGGCGGCGUGCUUAACACAUGCAAGUCGAACGGAAAGGCCCUGCUUGCAGUGCACUAGAGUGGCGAACGGGCGUGUAACACGUGUGUGAUCCGCCCUGCACUUCGGGAUAAGUCUGGGAAUCUGGCUCUAACUCCGGAUGGGAGCCAUCUUUAGUGUGAUGGUUGGAAAGUUCUGGCGGUGUUGGAUGAGCUCGCGGCCUAUCAGCUUGUUGGUGGGGUAAUGGCCUACCAAGGCGGCGACGGGUAGCCGGCCUGAGAGGGUGGCCGGCCACAUUGGGACUGAGAUACGGCCCAGACUCCUACGGGAGGCAGCAGUGGGGAAUAUUGCACAAUGGGCGCAAGCCUGAUGCAGCGACGCCGCGUGGGGGAUGACGGCCUUCGGGUUGUAAACUCCUUUCGGUAGGGACGAAGCUUUUUGUGACGGUACCUAGAUAAGAAGCACCGGCUAACUACGUG
rnacentral:rRNA from 1 species